AUGCGCCCUGGCCCCGGCCACCCACCCCUCCCUCCGCCAUUUGGGCCACUUGUCGGCGCUCCCUCCCACCUCCAUCCCCCCUUUUCUUCUUUCCCCAACGCGUGGAGCUGCCGGGAGCUGCCGCCACCCCUUGCUCGCGGGGCCCCUCCAUCUUCCUACCGCGCCUGCCCACCGCCCCGGCGCCGAUCCAGGCGUGCCCGCGCGACUACCGGCGCGGAUCUGGCCCGGGGCCGCGGGAUCCGGCCCUCCACCAGACCCUGUCGCAAGCUCCCCGUCGUGGAAUCCCCUCCCCCGAGCUCCCUCGCUUUCCCCUGCCUUGCGCUCGGGCACUACCCCAAGUCCGGUGCGUGGCUACCGCCAUGGAACCGCGUCAGCGCCCCACCUCCCCAUCCUCCCAAUCUCCCAUCGAUCCAGCCGAGGGAGGAGAGCAGUCGGCUCUCUUCCUCGUCUCCGGUGAGGCCUGGGCGCCACCCUCCUCCGGCGCGGACUAGCCACCCCGGAUCCAGACCCUCGCUGCCAACACCUCCGCUCUACACCGCGGGUAGUUCCGGGCCGCCACUGCCGGCGCCGUGCAUCUGGCUUCCCCACCAAACUCCCCUCUACCUUUCUCUGAACUGCACAGCAUGUAGUGCCGGCGGCUGUGGCAAGCAGUGCAGCUCGACUCGGCGUGCAGCUCGCCCCUGCCCCGUCGUGCGGGCACCCUCACGUGCAGCAUCGGGGUGGCUGCAGGUCCGACAUCUCCUGCGCCGACGCCUUCAACAUUGUUCACCGGACUUCCGCUGCUCUUCCACUCUCCCUUUUCCAGCGACCCCCUUCCUCAUAUUUCUCCGAGGUCCCAGCCACCCACGGCAUGCAGUACGGGUGGCGAUGCCGUACAGUUUGCGGUGUGCAUCCUUGCCCUGCAGUUUGUCGUGUGCAUCCAGCUGCAGAGGGGUUCAAAUGUGCAGUUUUAUUCAAUUUGCACCAACUCCUCUAUUCAAUGCGCACUUCUCAAGGGAUAUAAUUUCAUUUUGGAGCUAUAUUUGUUUCAGAUUUUGCCAAUGCAGUGUGUGCGAUUUGUGUAGCAGCUCAGUACCCUUAUGUAUGAAGUGCAAUUUGUUUGUGUGUCUCAAAAAAUCAGUCGACUAUCAUCAAACACUUGCAGUCCAUUUGGUCCUCGAUGUGGUUCAUUUUUUAGAGUGA
rnacentral:rRNA from 1 species